AAAACGACUCUCGGCAACGGAUAUCUCGGCUCUCGCAUCGAUGAAGAACGUAGCGAAAUGCGAUACUUUGUGUGAAUUGCAGAAUCCCGUGAACCAUCGAGUCUUUGAACGCAAGUUGCGCCCUAAGCCUUCUGGCCGAGGGCACGUCUGCCUGGGUGUCACAAA
rnacentral:rRNA from 1 species